UCAUAUAGCAUUAUAUCAAGUUUCUCUUCUUUUCUCUGUUGAGUUACUACUUUUUAAAACAUGAUGAAUGAACCACCAAAAUAUGGUUAUCCAUAUCCCUCUCAAGGUCAAGGGUAUUAUCAAGGUCCUCCUCCUGUGAUGGCACCACCAACAUAUGCUGCUCCUCCUCCACCUCAGAAUAAUAGAGGUUUUCUUGAAGGAUGUCUAGCAGCUCUGUGUUGUUGCUGCCUGCUAGAUGAGUGUUGCUGUGAUCCCUCUGUAAUCUGUGUGUUGUAAUUAAUUAAGUUCACUUCUUCUUUAUGCUUUAAUUUGUAGUACAUAUACCAAUAUAUAAGAAUUGUAAUGUAAAUAAGUUCUUUAUGAACAUCACUAUUAUUGGGAGUUAUAUUGUAGUAAUUAGCUUCUUUAAUUUGAAUCAUU